rnacentral:rRNA from 1 species
UACGAAGGGGACUAGCGUUGUUCGGAAUCACUGGGCGUAAAGCGCACGUAGGCGGAUUUGUAAGUCAGGGGUGAAAUCCCGGGGCUCAACCUCGGAACUGCCUUUGAUACUGCGAAUCUUGAGUCCGAUAGAGGUGGGUGGAAUUCCUAGUGUAGAGGUGAAAUUCGUAGAUAUUAGGAAGAACACCGGUGGCGAAGGCGGCCCACUGGAUCGGUACUGACGCUGAGGUGCGAAAGCGUGGGGAGCGAUCCGG